GCGGGGGAGGGAAGGCGCCGGCACCGGGGCUGCAGACCCGGCGGUUCCUCACCGCGCCCCGGAGCUCCGGGAACGGAGAACGCCACCUGAAAUAUUUCCAUUUUUUUUUAUUUACUUGUUUCUACCGGCCGGAAGGCGCUGGGCCCGCGGGUCCCCCGGCACAGGGGGUGCUCUGCCCGCUGUGCCGUCCGGCACUAGCUCCUCGUGCUUACGGGCAUCAGCUGAUGGGAGGCUCGGGCACGUGUGAGGGGGUCGCACCCGGAGCUCAGGGUGGCCGAGAACCGUGCGAAGGGAACAAACCUCGAAGGCAACAAACCUCAGGUGACGGGUCCGCACGAGCCGCCGCCCACGAGUUGUGCUGAGGGGGAACAGCCGCGUGAGGCCCCUCCAGGAGAACAGCGGUGCCUGUGGAGAUGUAAAGGGACAACCGGUGCAUGAGACACAGGGAGAUCUCGGGAGCAUCUCAAGCAGCGUGGAUGAGGUUGUGACCCUGAGCCAACGAGGGGAGAUGGGCAAACACUCCGUUCUGUUGCAAGUGUCCUGGGGCUUGCUGGAGCAGCAGGAGUGGCCAGAAGAAAAGAAAGAAGCUGUUGGUGCUGCUCUGAAAAUCCCUGUUUGGAAAGGAUUGGGAAGAUGGAACCUUGGAAGCCCACAAUUGAAACGAGGCUAUAAGAAAAUGACUUAUUUUCAGGAUCUGGAUGUAGGAAUUUCAAACAUCAGAGGUAGUUUGGGGCAGGGUAUAACAAGAAUUAUGUGUACAGUUCUUUAAUUGUUAAUCUCUUCUCACUGAUUGUUUAAAGUAUAUUUCAUGGGACCUCAAUUAAACUUAUUUGUAUUUAAA